CAACUGCCACACCCAUUUUGCUCACCCCCACUGCAAAACCAUUUCUGUUUGUUUGCUAAACCCAUUGUUGGUGCCAAUGCGAGAUUGAGAGCCCUACAUUUCUGCUUGCUUGGUAUUUUCCAUUUGUUUUGUCAACCAAAUAUAAUUUUAUUUUUUCUGAUUUCACUCUCUGGUUCUCUCGCUUCUCGCCUACCACAUGGUUUUCUAGGGUUUCGAAUUGUUAGAGUUUCGAGCAGAGGAUUAUGGCUUUCAGGGAGGAGAUCCAAAGGAUAAAAGCUAAUAAUCCUGACAUAAGCCAUAAGGAAGCUUUUAGUACUCAGCCACAAAUGGGUUUAUAAGAAUAAUGACUAUCUUAUGAUUUCUUACAAUGGAGGUCUUAACCAAAUGUGAGCAGCAAUGAGUUUCUACAAGCUACAUUUGCUAUAAUUAUCAUAAUUAUAGACAUUGUUUUUAUCUCUGGAUUAUGUCCUAUUGUAAAUGCAAUAAAAAAAUUACAUCUUUUAGUGGGGGGUCACUUGUAAA